rnacentral:rRNA from 1 species
ACUACGGUGAGCAGCAGUGAGGAAUAUUGGUCAAUGGCCGGAAGGCUGAACCAGCCAUGCCGCGUGAAGGUCAGUGCCCUAUGGGCGUUAAACUUCUUUUGUGCGGGGGCAAUAAUGGUCACGUGUGGCCAGACGAGAGUACCGUACGAAUAAGCAUCGGCUAACUCCGUGCAAGCAGGCGCGGUAAUACGGGGGAUGCAAGCGUUGUCCGGAUUUAUUGGGGGUAAAGGGUGCGUAGGCUGUGGGGUAAGGGAGCGGUGCAAUGGCCCCGCUGAAGGGGGUGAAGUGCCAUGGAUACUGCCUUGCUGGAGUGCGGAUGCCGUGAGAGGAAUGUGUGGUGUAGCGGUGGAAUGCAUAGAUAUCACACAGAACACCGAUUGCGAAGGCAUCUCACGAAUCCGCGAUUGACGCUGAUGCACGAAAGCGUGGGUAUCAAACAGGAUUAGAUACCCUAGUAGUC